rnacentral:rRNA from 1 species
UACAGAGGGUGCAAGCGUUUAAUCGGAAUUACUGGGCGUAAAGCGUGCGUAGACGGUUAUGUAAGUCGGGUGUGAAAGCCCCGGGCUCAACCUGGGAAUUGCAUUCGAGACUGCAUAGCUAGGGUGCGGAAGAGGGAAGCGGAAUUUCCGGUGUAGCGGUGAAAUGCGUAGAUAUCGGAAGGAACACCAGUAGCGAAGGCGGCUCGCUGGGCCAUUCCUGACGCUGAGACGCGAAAGCUAGGGGAGCGAACAGG